ensembl:snoRNA
UUGGCUCCAAAUCAAGGCCGGAAGUUUUCAAAAGCAGUUGGUUUCAAGAGGGAGCCUAAAGUGAUACUUUUCUGUGGUCUGCUGGCCUUUUCAGAACUUUAUAAAUGUGAUGGUCAAUUCAUUAGAAAGGACCUACU